UAUUGAUGCCUGCCCCUUUCUUUGUUACACAACAACAUUCAAACCUCUCAGACAAAGACAAUCAGACACCAAACCUCAGAGAGAAACAUCUCACCGCAGCACACUGUACGAAGGACACAACCACGGUCACCACCGCAAAGCACCACUGGCACAGCCGCAGAUCACAGGGAACUCCUGGAGUAACAAGAUCAGUGCUUUGGGACAGUGGAGUUGUAUUGGGGAAGUUCUUAGAGCAUGCUGUAGAAUCAGGGACAGUGCUUCUUCAAGGCAAGAAGGUUGUUGAAUUGAGAUCUGGCUGUGGAUGAGUUGGAUAGAUUAAGGAUGCUGAGGAAGAACGUUGGAACUAAUCUGUAUGGAAAUGUUCGUGGUUCUACGACAGUGAAUCAACUCAUUUGGGGAGAGGAGCCUGUUGUAGAAUUGAUUCGACCAUUAGCUGAUUAUGGUACAAAGAUCUUAUAUCUUCUCUUCCACAUAACAAAGGUUUUAAAAAUUGGUUGUUUCUAUAACCAAGUAGGUAUAAUGCGCGCUACAACUCUGUUGAGUGCCUGUUACGGUGCUGUUACAACUGUUAUGGCUAUUGUAAUCAAUUUUCCUAAGAACUAAUACCAGCUCUUGGUUGUUGGAUUUUGCACCUUGACUUUCCACAUGGUGUGUCUUGACCUGCGAAUUUAGUCCCAUGCUCCAUAUGCAUUGUCAUCAAAUUACCUAGUAUUUGUUUAAUGCUUCUGGACCAAGUAGUGAUCUUGUAUGAGUUGUUUUG